UACGUAGGUCACAAGCGUUGUCCGGAUUUAUUGGGCGUAAAGGGAGCGCAGGCGGUUUGUUAAGUCUGAUGUGAAAGCCCACGGCUCAACCGUGGAACGGCAUUGGAAACUGGCAAACUUGAGUAUAGAAGAGGAAAGUGGAAUUCCAUGUGUAGCGGUGAAAUGCGUAGAUAUAUGGAGGAACACCAGUGGCGAAGGCGACUUUCUGGUCUAUAACUGACGCUGAGGCUCGAAAGCGUGGGGAGGCGAACAGGAUUAGAUACCCGCGUAGU
rnacentral:rRNA from 1 species